rnacentral:rRNA from 1 species
GACGAACGCUGGCGGCGUGCUUAACACAUGCAAGUCGAACGGAAAGGCCCUGCUUUUGUGGGGUGCUCGAGUGGCGAACGGGUGAGUAACACGUGAGUAACCUGCCCUUGACUUUGGGAUAACUUCAGGAAACUGGGGCUAAUACCGGAUAGGAGCUCCUGCUGCAUGGUGGGGGUUGGAAAGUUUCGGCGGUUGGGGAUGGACUCGCGGCUUAUCAGCUUGUUGGUGGGGUAGUGGCUUACCAAGGCUUUGACGGGUAGCCGGCCUGAGAGGGUGACCGGCCACAUUGGGACUGAGAUACGGCCCAGACUCCUACGGGAGGCAGCAGUGGGGAAUAUUGCACAAUGGGCGGAAGCCUGAUGCAGCAACGCCGCGUGCGGGAUGACGGCCUUCGGGUUGUAAACCGCUUUCGCCUGUGACGAAGCGUGAGUGACGGUAAUGGGUAAAGAAGCACCGGCUAACUACGUGCCAGCAGCCGCGGUGAUACGUAGGGCGCGAGCGUUGUCCGGAUUUAUUGGGCGUAAAGGGCUCGUAGGUGGUUGAUCGCGUCGGAAGUGUAAUCUUGGGGCUUAACCCUGAGCGUGCUUUCGAUACGGGUUGACUUGAGGAAAGGUAGGGGAGAAUGGAAUUCCUGGUGGAGCGGUGGAAUGCGCAGAUAUCAGGAGGAACACCAGUGGCGAAGGCGGUUCUCUGGGCCUUUCCUGACGCUGAGGAGCGAAAGCGUGGGGAGCGAACAGGCUUAGAUACCCUGGUAGUCCACGCUGUAAACGGUGGGUACUAGGUGUGGGGUCCAUUCCACGGGUUCCGUGCCGUAGCUAACGCUUUAAGUACCCCGCCUGGGGAGUACGGCCGCAAGGCUAAAACUCAAAGGAAUUGACGGGGCCCCGCACAAGCGGCGGAGCAUGCGGAUUAAUUCGAUGCAACGCGUAGAACCUUACCUGGGUUUGACAUGGAUCGGGAGUGCUCAGAGAUGGGUGUGCCUCUUUUGGGGUCGGUUCACAGGUGGUGCAUGGCUGUCGUCAGCUCGUGUCGUGAGAUGUUGGGUUAAGUCCCGCAACGAGCGCAACCCUUGUUCACUGUUGCCAGCACGUUAUGGUGGGGACUCAGUGGAGACCGCCGGGGUCAACUCGGAGGAAGGUGGGGAUGACGUCAAGUCAUCAUGCCCCUUAUGUCCAGGGCUUCACGCAUGCUACAAUGGCUGGUACAGAGAGUGGCGAGCCUGUGAGGGUGAGCGAAUCUCGGAAAGCCGGUCUCAGUUCGGAUUGGGGUCUGCAACUCGACCUCAUGAAGUCGGAGUCGCUAGUAAUCGCAGAUCAGCAACGCUGCGGUGAAUACGUUCCCGGG